GCAUCUGCCACUUGUCUCCAACCAGAGGUGUGUGGCCCCACAUUUCUCUUCACGGAGAAAAGCAAGGCACAAUUCUUCCCAAGAAUAUUUCUGAGAUUCACAUUUUCUGAACCUCAAAGAAAGGAAAAACAAUUCUUAUCAUUUGCAUUGCCUGUGUUGUGCCAAAGUAGAAUGCAACGUGGAGAUUGUUUACCCAAAGUGAUGGUGUUUUGUUUCCUUGGCCUAUCAGGGCCAAGUGUGUGUGUGUGUGACAGAUUCAGCUUAGAUGUAAUGUAAUACAGUGUAAUAUAGUAUAGAAUAAUAUAGUAUAAUAAAUAAUUAAUUAGCCUUCUGAUAAAGUGAUUAAUUAGCCUUCAGUGCAGUGCAGUGCAGUUGUGUGCAGGGUUGAGUGCUUGGCAGAUUCAGUUUAGAUGUAAUGUAAUAUAAUGUAAUAUAGUAUAGAAUAAUAUAGUACAAUAAAGUAAUUAAUUAUCCUUCUGAUAAAGUGAUUAAUUAGCCCUAAGUGCAGUGCAGUUGUGUGCAGGGCUGAGUGCUUGGCAGAUUCAGUUUAGAUGUAAUGUAAUAUAGUAUAGAAUAAUAUAGUAUAAUAAAUAAUUAAUUAGCCUU